CACCACUCGCAGCGGCACGCAGGGUGACUGAGCCCCGGCCUCAGCUGCCACCAGGCCUCAGCACUGGGCUCAAGCCCUGCCAAGGAGAGCUUUGAUUGGGGAGAAAUUGCAGUGUAGCAGCAACAGAGUCUCCGUGAUGACAAGAGACACAUGGACACCCUCUUGUCAGCUCCCAUCAUCUGCACUGCUCUGUUUCAUCUGAGAAUGCUCCUGGGUCUUCAGCAGUGGCAGCAGUGGUUGCACCGAACAGCUGCUGCUUCUCACCUGGAGCACAGACAACAUACAAUAUUUCUACAAAGUGAAAUUACAGGCCCAAAGAUCAAGACAACAGUGCAGUGUACAGAUGAGCUAAAACAAGAAGCAUGUGCAAUGAGGCAGCACACCAAUAGAAAGCAUCUGGUUUGGGGAAUUUGAGGAACCUACGUCCUGCAGCAGUCCUGUUUUCAUGUGUGUGUGAACAGAGACAG